GACGAACGCUGGCGGCGUGCUUAACACAUGCAAGUCGAACGCUGAAGCUCAGCUUGCUGGGUGGAUGAGUGGCGAACGGGUGAGUAACACGUGAGUAACCUGCCCUCUUCUUUGGGAUAACGCCCGGAAACGGGUGCUAAUACUGGAUAUUCACUGAUUCUCGCAUGGGGGUUGGUGGAAAGGUUUUUUCUGGUGGGGGAUGGGCUCGCGGCCUAUCAGCUUGUUGGUGGGGUGAUGGCCUACCAAGGCCUUGACGGGUAGCCGGCCUGAGAGGGUGACCGGUCACAUUGGGACUGAGAUACGGCCCAGACUCCUACGGGAGGCAGCAGUGGGGAAUAUUGCACAAUGGGCGAAAGCCUGAUGCAGCGACGCCGCGUGAGGGAUGGAGGCCUUCGGGUUGUAAACCUCUUUCGCUCAUGGUCAAGCCGCAGCUUUGGGUUGUGGUGAGGGUAGUGGGUAAAGAAGCGCCGGCUAACUACGUG
rnacentral:rRNA from 1 species